UACACAUACACACUGCACCAAACACACACAAUACUUCCGAAUAUAUUUAUAUCAUAUAAAUAUAUUCAGAAGUAUUGUGUGUGUUUGAUGCAGUGUGUAUGUGUG